rnacentral:sRNA from 1 species
CUGCGCCCCGCGCCCAGGCCGGGCCGAGCCGAGCCGGGUCGGGCCCGGGCCAUGCUGCUCACCGUGUACUGUGUGCGGAGGGACCUCUCCGAGGUGACCUUUUCCCUCCAGGUCGACGCCGACUUCGAGCUGCACAACUUCCGCGCGCUGUGCGAGCUCGAGUCUGGCAUCCCCGCAGCCGAGAGCCAGAUCGUCUAUGCGGAAAGACCUCUCACAGACAACCACAGAUCAUUGGCUUCUUAUGGCUUGAAAGAUGGGGACGUUGUGAUUUUACGACAGAAGGAGAAUGCAGACCCUCGACCUCCAGUGCAGUUCCCAAGUAAGACAUCUGGUGGUUGAGCAUCCCCCAGCACAACCAUCAGCAGGUAGCAGAGCAUAGCGCCUCAGAGUUUUGGAUUCGCUUUGGAUUCAGACUACAGAAUACAGAUCCUGACUCUGCCUUUUCCCUGCCAUGUAACCUUGAACAAGUAUUUUAACAUCUCUAAAUUGGUUUCCUCUUCUAUAAGUUAGGUGCCAUAAUUAACCCCAACUCCUAAAGCUGACGUGAGGCUAAUGCAUGUAAAAUCUUAGCACACAGCAAGCCCUCA